rnacentral:tRNA from 1 species
GGGCCGCUAGCUCAACGGCAGAGCAACUGACUCUUAAUCAGCAGGUUGAAGGUUCGAAUCCUUCGCGGCCCACCU